rnacentral:rRNA from 1 species
UACGUAGGGUGCGAGCGUUGUCCGGAAUUAUUGGGCGUAAAGAGCUCGUAGGCGGCUUGUCGCGUCGGAUGUGAAAGCCCGGGGCUUAACUCCGGGUCUGCAUUCGAUACGGGCAGGCUAGAGUUCGGUAGGGGAGAUCGGAAUUCCUGGUGUAGCGGUGAAAUGCGCAGAUAUCAGGAGGAACACCGGUGGCGAAGGCGGAUCUCUGGGCCGAUACUGACGCUGAGGAGCGAAAGCGUGGGGUGCGAACAGG